rnacentral:rRNA from 1 species
CGAUGAUGCAUAGCCGAGUUGAGAGACUGAUCGGCCACAUUGGGACUGAGACACGGCCCAAACUCCUACGGAGGCAGCAGUAGGGAAUCUUCCACAAUGGACGCAAGUCUGAUGGAGCAACGCCGCGUGAGUGAAGAAGGGUUUUCGGGCUCGUAAAGCUCUGUUGUUGGUGAAGAAGGACAGGGGUAGUAACUGACCUUUGUUUGACGGUAAUCAAUUAGAAAGUCACGGCUAACUACGUGCCAGCAGCCGCGGUAAAU